UACGUAGGGUGCAAGCGUUGUCCGAAAUUACUGGGCGUAAAGGGUUCGUAGGCGGGUUGUCGAGUCGGUUGUGAAAAACAGCAGCUCAACUGCUGGCUUGCAGUCGAUACGGGCAGACUUGAGUACUGCAGGGGAGACUGGAAUUCCUGGUGUAGCGGUGAAAUGCGCAGAUAUCAGGAGGAACACCGGUGGCGAAGGCGGGUCUCUGAGCAGUAACUGACGCUGAGGAACGAAAGCGUGGGUAGCGAACAGG
rnacentral:rRNA from 1 species